AAUUCUCACCUGCUUCGGCUUUUGCUUGAAGUGAAGUUGGAUUUUGGAGGUUUUGUCGGCAUGCUCGACUCCUUCUAAAAGCAUGAAGCUUUUUCCCCUUGGCGCAAAAGUAUCUUUGACGUGAUAAGCAUCUACGUCGCAGAGAAAGCGGAGGGUGCUCUCCUUAGGGGAGUGCUUUUCACAGGGGGAAUCGGUUUGUUGCAUGAGGUUUAUGGCCUCGUUUGACCA
rnacentral:misc_RNA from 1 species